GCUCGUUCCACCUCUUCUAAAUUGAAAAUGAAGCUCUCAAGAAAUUCCUGAGAGAGCCCAUUUUUGCUCUGGCCUAUGGCCAAGGGAUCCCACCCAUUGGAAUACUCUAGGCUGAUAAGUGGUGAGGCACUCUUCCUAUAAACNUCGGUACUAAGCCGGCUAUCUGAAGUAUCCAAUGCACUUCCAAUUUUCUGUUUCUGGCGAC
rnacentral:misc_RNA from 1 species